CCUACGGGAGGCAGCAGUGAGGAAUAUUGGUCAAUGGGCUUACGCCUGAACCAGCCAAGUCGCGUGAGGGAAGACUGCCCUAUGGGUUGUAAACCUCUUUUGUCAGGGAGCAAUUGGCGCUACGUGGAGCGUUAUCGAGAGUACCUGAAGAAAAAGCAUCGGCUAACUCCGUGCCAGCAGCCGCGGUAAUACGGAGGAUGCGAGCGUUAUCCGGAUUUAUUGGGUUUAAAGGGUGCGUAGGCGGAAUGCCAAGUCAGCGGUAAAAUCGCGGGGCUCAACCUCGCUCCGCAUUUGAAACUGGCGUUCUUGAGUGGGCGAGAAGUAGGCGGAAUGCGUGGUG
rnacentral:rRNA from 1 species